rnacentral:rRNA from 1 species
ACUCUAGAGAUAGAGCUUUCCCUUCGGGGACAAAGUGACAGGUGGUGCAUGGUUGUCGUCAGCUCGUGUCGUGAGAUGUUGGGUUAAGUCCCGCAACGAGCGCAACCCUUAUUACUAGUUGCCAGCAUUUAGUUGGGCACUCUAGUGAGACUGCCGGUGACAAACCGGAGGAAGGUGGGGACGACGUCAAAUCAUCAUGCCCCUUAUGACCUGGGCUACACACGUGCUACAAUGGAUGGUACAACGAGUCGCGAGACCGCGAGGUUUAGCUAAUCUCUUAAAACCAUUCUCAGUUCGGAUUGUAGGCUGCAACUCGCCUACAUGAAGCCGGAAUCGCUAGUAAUCGCGGAUCAGCAUGCCGCGGUGAAUACGUUCCCGGGUCUUGUACACACCG